rnacentral:tRNA from 1 species
GCAAUGGUAGUUCAAUGGUAGAAUUUUCGCCUCCCAUGCGGGAGACCCGGGUUCAAUUUCUGGCCAAUGCA